UUAAUUGAAGAGUUUGAUCAUGGCUCAGAUUGAACGCUGGCGGCAGGCCUAACACAUGCAAGUCGAGCGGCAGCACAGAGGAACUUGUUCCUUGGGUGGCGAGCGGCGGACGGGUGAGUAAUGCCUGGGAAAUUGCCCGGUAGAGGGGGGAUAACCAUUGGAAACGAUGGCUAAUACCGCAUAACCUCGCAAGAGCAAAGCAGGGGACCUUCGGGCCUUGCGCUACCGGAUAUGCCCAGGUGGGAUUAGCUAGUUG
rnacentral:rRNA from 2 species